rnacentral:tmRNA from 23 species
GGGGACGCACUGGUUUCGACGGGGAUGUGGAAACCAAAGUGGCAGGUCGAGGCGCCGCUGGCCUCGUAAAAAGCGGCAACAAUGUAAUUGCAAACAACAAUUACGACUACGCUCUUGCUGCAUAAGUAAUAGCGUACCUGGCUAUUUAAAUAGCCACGUCAAUCCUGCUGAUGUCUGAUAAGCUGGUGCGGCGACAAUCAUCAGGCUAGCAGCCUAUUGUGUUUACUGGAUAGUCUGCGAAAUUAUUACAGUAAACUUGUUUUGAUCUGCCUGGCUAAGGGCUAGAAUCAAAAUAAGAUGUAAACUUAGCCUAAACCUGUAGAUACUUUGUGUGGAACUUUCUCGGACGCGGGUUCGAUUCCCGCCGUCUCCACCA